CCUACGGGUGGCAGCAGUCGAGAAUUAUUCACAAUGGGGGAAACCCUGAUGGUGCGACGCCGCGUGGGGGAAUGAAGAUCUUCGGAUUGUAAACCCCUGUCAUGUGGGAGCAAAUUAAAAAGAUAGUACCACAAGAGGAAGAGACGGCUAACUCUGUGCCAGCAGCCGCGGUAAUACAGAGGUCUCAAGCGUUGUUCGGAAUCACUGGGCGUAAGGCGUGCGUAGGCUGUUUCGUAAGUCGUGUGUGAAAGGCGCGGGCUCAACCCGCGGACGGCACAUGAUACUGCGAGACUAGAGUAAUGGAGGGGGAACCGGAAUUCUCGGUGUAGCAGUGAAAUGCGUAGAUAUCGAGAGGAACACUCGUGGCGAAGGCGGGUUCCUGGACAUUAACUGACGCUGAGGCACGAAGGCCAGGGGAGCGAAAGGGAUUAGAUACCCCAGUAGUC
rnacentral:rRNA from 1 species